rnacentral:rRNA from 1 species
GACGAACGCUGGCGGCGUGCCUAAUACAUGCAAGUCGAACGGUCUUUUCUAUGGAAGCUUGCUUCCACUGAGAAGAUAGUGGCGAACGGGUGAGUAACACGUGGGUAACCUGCCCAUAAGAGGGGGAUAACAUCCGGAAACGGGUGCUAAUACCGCAUAGUUUUCUUGAGCGCAUGAGUGAGAAGGGAAAGACGGCCUUUGUGCUGUCGCUUAUGGAUGGACCCGCGGGGUAUGUGUUAGUGGGGGAGGUAACGGCUCACCAAGGCGAUGAUGCGUAGCCGACCUGAGAGGGUGAUUGGCCGCAGUGGGACUGAGACACGGCCCAAACUCCUACGGGAGGCAGCAGUAGGGAAUCUUCCGCAAUGGACGAAAGUCUGACGGAGCAACGCCGCGGGAGUGAAGAAGGUGUUUGGAUCGUAAAACUCUGUUGUCAGAGAAGAACAAGUUGGAGAGUAACUGCUCCAGCCUUGACGGUAUCUGACCAGAAAGCCACGGCUAACUACGUGCCAGCAGCAGCCGCGGUAA